GUUAGAGCGCUUGCUCCAACGCUUCUGCAGUACAAGAGUACAGCUGAAAGCCAUAGUACACUGAUGAUAUUUGCAAGCCUGAAGUACAAGCCGCCCCUAACGAUCUCCCCCCCAUAUGUACUGCAGCUAACUUGUACUACUACCAGUGCACCAUGGCCGGGGUACAAAUAUGCCACCCUUCACCAAUGGAUGCAUCAGCAGCAGCCACAGCAAAAUUUGGUUUGGGAUAGGUAGGUGUUAUGUUAGGUCUGGUUUUUUGGCUGUAGCAGCAGCAGUGGAAGGGGCAUGCAGAGGAGCAGGAGAUUCAGUUUGAAGCUGGACUUCACUUUUGCCUCUCUCUCCUGUGCUUGCCUCUUCCAUUCCUGCUGCUAGGCUGUUCUGUGGAAGUUUGCAGAGUUUAUAUUAUGGGUUUAAUCGUCCAUGGCAUCAGCAUCAGCAGCGGUAGG
rnacentral:precursor_RNA from 1 species